UACAGGGGGUGCAAACGUUGCUCGGAAUUAUUGGGCGUAAAGCGCGCGUAGGCGGCUACUUAAGUCGGAUGUGAAAGCCCCUGGCUCAACUGGGGAAGUGCACCCGAAACUGAGUGGCUUGAGUGCGAAAGAGGGUCGCGGAAUUCCCGGUGUAGAGGUGAAAUUCGUAGAUAUCGGGAGGAACACCGGUGGCGAAGGCGGCGACCUGGGUCGAGACUGACGCUGAGGCGCGAAAGCGUGGGGAGCAAACAGG
rnacentral:rRNA from 1 species